rnacentral:ncRNA from 12 species
CCUUGAAGAGCGUUAUAUCAAACGAGAGUAGUUUACUAUAGAUUUGUAUCUAUAGGCAACAAAAUCGGACGUGAUGAACAAGGAA